rnacentral:rRNA from 1 species
AGCUCCAAUAGCGUAUAUUAAAGUUGUUGCAGUUAAAAAGCUCGUAGUUGGAUUUCUGGCUUUUUGUAGUGGACGGCCCGCCUUCGGGUUGAGUGCUGGAAGCUCGAGCCUUUUUAUCGGUUUGUGCCGUUUCCCUUGACUGUGGCGACGUGUGCGAUCCGGUUCAGUUACCUUGAAAAAAUCCGAGUGUUCAAAGCAGGCAUUGUUGCCGUGAAGAUUGCAGCAUGGAAUAGCAGCCAUAGGACUUUAGCGUCUUAUUUGUUGGUUCUGGGACCUAAGUAAUGAUUGAUAGGGACAGUUGGGGGUGCUGGUAUUCCACGGCCAGAGGUGAAAUUCUCAGAUUCCUGGAAGACCAACUUAUGCGAAAGCAUUCACCAAGGAUGUCUUCUUUAAUCAAGAA